rnacentral:misc_RNA from 1 species
AACAAUACUUUAAGAAAGUUUUACAUUCUCGGCAAACUGGGAUUCAUUAGUGGGUUUAGUAUUGCCGCCAGUGAGACUUACAUUCAUCCACAUCCCAAAAACCCAGCAGGUGGCACUGCUCGUUUCUUUGCAUACAGCUUGUGGAAAAGAAUACCAGUUGGAAUGUUUGGUUUUUUAAGCUUUGGAGCCUAUUGGUAUGCCUGGAAUACUUUCUUUGAUAAUGACAGUUUCAUGGGAGUGACUUUUGCAUCUCAAGCAGCAUGGGUCACAACAGCUGGACCCAUCAUGAAAAGAUGGACUAAUACGUAUGAUUUUAUGCCAUGGGCCAUUUUAUUGGGAUUUGUCCAUCUAUUUCCAUAUCGUCAAGAUUUAGCAAGACGCAGGCUGACUCAAAUUAAGCUUAGCAAUCCCCAUCAUUAUGAAUUCGAUAUGUUUGGAAACUAUAUCAAACCUUUGACUGGCAUCAAUUAUAACUUUGAUGAUGAUGUUUAAAGGAAAUAUUGGGGAUCUUGACUGCUUUGUGGACAAUAAUUUGGCCAAAAAAGGCCAGUAAAGAAAAUACCGUUCUUUUGUUUGAAAAAAAAAAUAUCUUGAUUAAAUAAUCAU